GUAGGGUCCGAGCGUUGUCCGGAAUUAUUGGGCGUAAAGGGCUCGUAGGCGGUUUGUCGCGUCGGGAGUGAAAACUCAGGGCUCAACCCUGAGCGUGCUUCCGAUACGGGCAGACUAGAGGUAUGCAGGGGAGAACGGAAUUCCUGGUGUAGCGGUGGAAUGCGCAGAUAUCAGGAGGAACACCGGAGGCGAAGGCGGUUCUCUGGGCAUGACCUGACGCUGAGGAGCGAAAGCAUGGGGAGCGAACAGGAUUAGAUACCCUGGUAGUCCAUGCCGUAAACGUUGGGCGCUAGGUGUGGGGACCUUCCAAGGUUUCCGUGCCGCAGCUAACGCAUUAAGCGCCCCGCCUGGGGAGUACGGCCGCAAGGCUA
rnacentral:rRNA from 1 species